UACGUAGGGUGCGAGCGUUGUCCGGAAUUAUUGGGCGUAAAAGAGCUCGUAGGCGGUUUGUCGCGUCUGCUGUGAAAACCCGAGGCUCAACCUCGGGCCUGCAGUGGGUACGGGCAGACUAGAGUGCGGUAGGGGAGACUGGAAUUCCUGGUGUAGCGGUGGAAUGCGCAGAGUAUCAGGAGGAACACCCGAUGGCGAAGGCAGGUCUCUGGGCCGAUACUGACGCUGAGGAGCGAAAGCGUGGGGAGCGAACAGG
rnacentral:rRNA from 1 species